UACGAAGGGGGCUAGCGUUGUUCGGAAUUACUGGGCGUAAAGCGCACGUAGGCGGAUGUGCAAGUCCGGUGUGAAAUCCCGAGGCUCAACCUCGGAGCUGCAUCCGAUACUGGAUAUCUCGAGUGCGGAAGAGGUGAGUGGAAUUCCUAGUGUAGAGGUGAAAUGCGUAGAUAUUAGGAAGAACACCAGUGGCGAAGGCGGCUCACUGGCCCGUAACUGACGCUGAGGUGCGAAAGCGUGGGGAGCAAACAGG
rnacentral:rRNA from 1 species